rnacentral:lncRNA from 1 species
CACGCAGCUUCGGAGGUGCUGGGGUGAAGGUAUUUGCGCCUAAUGUCGAGCAGAUGCUCAUCGUUAAUCACUUGAAAGGGAGCCCAACAGAAAGAAGAGAAAUGUGCUGGAGGAAAGUGCCAGGAGAGCCCGGAGGGACGUCCAAGACUUGGCAGACCUGAACUCGAGCAAGCUUGAUGCUGUCAUUCUACCUGGUACCACCGAAGACCUGGACUGAACCCAAUAGAAAGUGAAAAGUGGCUGAGGAUUAUAAAAGCAGCAAAGACCAGGCCUUCUCAGAGAUGCCUUUGGAGACUCUGCCCGGGGUAAGUCUGAGACCUUCUCCUGUCUUGGUGGAUGUCAGCAGAGAGAAGCAGUGACCCUACCAAGGACUCAGGACCCACUUGACUGGUGUGUUAACCAUUGGUCACCAGCACGGUUGCUGUGGUUUGUUACCUGCCUCUGAUUAUUCCCUGUGCGUUGAUAUUAAUUGCAUGGUUGGUGGUGUGUGAAGUCCUCUGUAUAAACAGUGAAUUUGAUCACAUGUAAUUGGCUAUUGAGACAUUGUGAAAGUGGAAGCUUCUGUUGGAGUUAGUGCCCGUAAGUGUGAACUUAAUUAACAUAUCCAUUGGCAUGGCCGGUAAUAUCUUGUUUUAUGAAUCUUGUAACUUCUCAGUGUCUUUGAGAAAAUUACUUCAAAUAUUAAAUACAAGUUUUCU